GCCCAUCUGGUGGCAACACCAGUGAAGGCCCAGUGGCGAACGGGUGCGUAACACGUGAGCAACCCACCCCGAAGACCGGGAUAACACCGGGAAACCGGUGCUAAUACCGGAUGCCGUCACCGGAUCGCAUGGUCUGGUGACGAAAGGAUUCCGCUUCGGGACGGGCUCGCGGCCUAUCAGCUCGUUGGUGGGGUAACGGCCUACCAAGGCUUCGACGGGUAGCUGGUCUGAGAGGACGAUCAGCCACACUGGGACUGAGACACGGCCCAGACUCCUACGGGAGGCAGCAGUGGGGAAUCUUGCGCAAUGGGCGAAAGCCUGACGCAGCAACGCCGCGUGCGGGAAGACGGCCUUAGGG
rnacentral:rRNA from 1 species